CUGUGUGUUGAUUGUUGGAGCAGCAGUGAAGAAUCUCUAGACUCACAAUGACACAGACACUCACUCUGCUGCUGGUUGCUUCUUUGCUUCACUGUGUUACAGGUCAGAGUAUGGAGUCCAUUCCUUCCAGUCCUGUAGUGAAAAGGCCUGGGGAGACUCUCAGUCUCUCCUGCAGAGGAUCUGGUUUCACAUUUAACUGCUGUACUAUGCACUGGAUAAGGCAAAAGCCAGGAAGAGCACUGGAAUGGAUGGGAAUUGGCUUUUCAUCUUCCAGCAGCAACAGAUAUGUGAGCAGUUUGAGUGGACGAAUAGAAAUCAGUAGAGAUGACAGCAACAGCAUGGUGCAUCUGAGACUUUCCAGCCUAAAGCCAGAGGACUCUGCUGUGUAUUACUGUGCCAAAGACACACAGUGA